rnacentral:rRNA from 1 species
GGGUUGUGAGGUUAAGCGAAUAAGCGUACACGGUGGAUGCCUAGGCAAUCAGAGGCGAUGAAGGACGUGCUAAUCUGCGAUAAGCGUCGGUAAGGUGAUAUGAACCGUUAUACCCGACGAUUUCCGAAUGGGGAAACCCAAUAUCCAAUGGAUAUUAUCAUUAACUGAAUACAUAGGUUAAUGAAGCGAACCGGGAGAACUGAAACAUCUCAGUACCCCGAGGAAAAGAAAUCAACCGAGAUUCCCCUAGUAGCGGCGAGCGAACGGGGAACAGCCCAGAGUCUUAAUCAAUAACAGCAUCAGGAGAACGGUCUGGAAAGUCCGGCAGUAAAGGGUGAUAGCCCCGUAUCCGAAGAUGCUGUUGUUGUGAACUCGACGAGUAGGGCGGGACACGUGUUAUCCUGUCUGAAUAUGGGGGGACCAUCCUCCAAGGCUAAAUACUCCUGAUUGACCGAUAGUGAACCAGUACCGUGAGGGAAAGGCGAAAAGAACCCCGGCGAGGGGAGUGAAAAAGAACCUGAAACCGUGUACGUACAAGCAGUAGGAGCCCCAUCACUCAAGUGCCUCGCACUGAGUGAUUGGACAAACCACUCGAAAACAGCGCAGCGUUUACCUACAAAGUGGAUUGAUUUUUUCAAGCCGUCGCGCAGUGUACAUAGAAGUACACGAGCAACGGAAGUUAAAAAAUCGAGCCAGUUUGACAGUAAAAGCAAGCGGGACAUUUGAGGAUGGGGUGACUGCGUACCUUUUGUAUAAUGGGUCAGCGACUUAUAUUCUGUAGCAAGGUUAACCGUAUAGGGGAGCCGUAGGGAAACCGAGUCUUAACUGGGCGAAUGAGUUGCAGGGUAUAGACCCGAAACCCGGUGAUCUAUCCAUGGGCAGGUUGAAGGUUGGGUAACACUAACUGGAGGACCGAACCGACUAAUGUUGAAAAAUUAGCGGAUGACUUGUGGAUGGGGGUGAAAGGCCAAUCAAACCGGGAGAUAGCUGGUUCUCCCCGAAAGCUAUUUAGGUAGCGCCUCGUGAACUCAUCUUCGGGGGUAGAGCACUGUUUCGACUAGGGGGUCAUCCCGACUUACCAACUCGAUGCAAACUGCGAAUACCGAAGAAUGUUAUCACGGGAGACACACGGCGGGUGCUAACGUCCGUCGUGAAGAGGGAAACAACCCAGACCGCCAGCUAAGGUCCCAAAGUCAUGGUUAAGUGGGAAACGAAGUGGGAAGGCUCAGACAGCCAGGAUGUUGGCUUAGAAGCAGCCAUCAUUUAAAGAAAGCGUAAUAGCUCACUGGUCGAGUCGGCCCGCGCGGAAGAUGUAACGGGGCUAAACCAUGCACCGAAGCUGCGGCAGCGACACUAAGUGUUGUUGGGUAGGGGAGCGUUCUGUAAGCCUGCGAAGGUGUACUGUGAGGUAUGCUGGAGGUAUCAGAAGUGCGAAUGCUGACAUAAGUAACGAUAAUGCGGGUGAAAAACCCGCACGCCGGAAGACCAAGGGUUCCUGUCCAACGUUAAUCGGGGCAGGGUGAGUCGACCCCUAAGGCGAGGCUGAAAAGCGUAGUCGAUGGGAAACGGGUUAAUAUUCCCGUACUGGUGGUAACUGCGAUGGGGGAACGGAGAAGGCUAGGUUGUCCGGGCGACGGUCGUCCCGGUUCAAGCAUGUAGGCAGAGUGAUUAGGCAAAUCCGGUCACUUAAUGCUGAGGUGUGAUGACGAGCCACUAAGGUGGUGAAGCAAUUGAUGCCCUGCUUCCAGGAAAAGCCUCUAAGCUUCAGGUUACCAACAAUCGUACCCCAAACCGACACAGGUGGUCAGGUAGAGAAUACUCAGGCGCUUGAGAGAACUCGGGUGAAGGAACUAGGCAAAAUGGUGCCGUAACUUCGGGAGAAGGCACGCUGGCGGUAAGUGAAGUCCCUUGCGGACGGAGCCGAAGCCAGUCGAAGAUACCAGCUGGCUGCAACUGUUUAUUAAAAACACAGCACUGUGCAAACACGAAAGUGGACGUAUACGGUGUGACGCCUGCCCGGUGCUGGAAGGUUAAUUGAUGGGGUUAUCCUUAGGGAGAAGCUCUUGAUCGAAGCCCCAGUAAACGGCGGCCGUAACUAUAACGGUCCUAAGGUAGCGAAAUUCCUUGUCGGGUAAGUUCCGACCUGCACGAAUGGCGUAAUGAUGGCCAGGCUGUCUCCACCCGAGACUCAGUGAAAUUGAACUCGCUGUGAAGAUGCAGUGUACCCGCGGCAAGACGGAAAGACCCCGUGAACCUUUACUAUAGCUUGACACUGAACAUUGAGCCUUGAUGUGUAGGAUAGGUGGGAGACUAUGAAGUGUGGACGCCAGUCUGCAUGGAGUCAACCUUGAAAUACCACCCUUUAACGUUUGAUGUUCUAACCUAGGUCCAUAAUCUGGAUCGGGGACCGUGUCUGGUGGGUAGUUUGACUGGGGCGGUCUCCUCCUAAAGAGUAACGGAGGAGCACGAAGGUUGGCUAAGCAUGGUCGGACAUCAUGCGGUUAGUGCAAAGGCAUAAGCCAGCUUGACUGUGAGAGUGACGGCUCGAGCAGGUACGAAAGUAGGUCUUAGUGAUCCGGUGGUUCUGAAUGGAAGGGCCAUCGCUCAACGGAUAAAAGGUACUCCGGGGAUAACAGGCUGAUACCGCCCAAGAGUUCAUAUCGACGGCGGUGUUUGGCACCUCGAUGUCGGCUCAUCACAUCCUGGGGCUGAAGUAGGUCCCAAGGGUAUGGCUGUUCGCCAUUUAAAGUGGUACGCGAGCUGGGUUUAGAACGUCGUGAGACAGUUCGGUCCCUAUCUGCCGUGGGCGUUGGAAGAUUGAGAGGGGUUGCUCCUAGUACGAGAGGACCGGAGUGAACGCACCACUGGUGUUCGGGUUGUCAUGCCAAUGGCAUUGCCCGGUAGCUAAGUGCGGAAGAGAUAACCGCUGAAAGCAUCUAAGCGGGAAACUUGCCUCGAGAUGAGUCUUCCCUGUCACCUAGAGUGACCUAAAGGAACGUUUAAGACUAAGACGUUGAUAGGCUGGGUGUGUAAGCGUAGCGAUACGUUGAGCUAACCAGUACUAAUGAACCGUGAGGCUUAACCUGACAACACCGAAGGUGUUU